ensembl:lncRNA
CAUGGACCAUUCACAGGAGGCACUGGUGCGAUGCUGCCUAGGCUGUGGCUGGUCCAGCCAUGCAGCACGUAUGGGCAGGCACUCCUGUGCUCGGCGUCAGCUGCAGCCUUCCCAGGGCCUUUGAGUGACAGCCAAAGGUGUCUCCUCACCGUCGACAGAGCAAUCAUUCUCCAAAUGUCAGGCAGGCAUUUUCACAGCUCUCCCCACACUAGAGAUUUCUAGUUCUCCUGAAGACCCAGGGUAAGAGAUUGUGCUGUCACUGGACAGAACAAGAUAGAAACAGCAUCGUCCUGCUCCUCCCUUCCCUGGAGAUCUGCAAACUUUGCCAAGACACCCACAAACACCGUGAGGCAAAUGGAAUGCGGAACCCCGGGCUCCAGUAAGAAGAUGCUGUCUUCUGGAGGCUCCCACCUGGUGUCUGUGAAAUUACAAGUGCAGGGGAGACUGCCCUGGCUGGGAGGAGCCCUGUGAGAAGUGUGGAACUCAGGGGCCAACUCUUGGAAAGCUUAGAGCUUAACAUGGUCUGGUGCGUGGCGCAGAAACCUCCACAGAGAUGGGCGAUCCAGAAUCUCCACCUGGCUGCCCCCAUCUCUGGUAGCCAGCAAAUCUUGCAAGUGAAAUCACCUCUUCGAGCCUCAGUUUCCUCACCUGUCAAAUGGGCAUAUUGACCCCCACCCUAGAGAUGUAUACGAGACUGUGUGUGUGUGAAAUUGUAGGAUGACAAGCUGUUCUGGAGGUACUGGAUGCUGAUAGACUUGGGACAGCAAAAGGCUGAAUGUACCCAAAAGUCCCCAUGGGGAUCCCGCAUGCUCACAGCCUUAAACUGGGGUCGGGUGUGUGUUUGAGGCGGGGUGGAGUUUGGUUCAGCUAUUGCCAGAGGGAGGCUUCACCACUUGGGACAGCACCCCCACCCCACCCCCACCCCCACCCCCGCCGACACACACACAGUGCCAGAGGUGGGUCCCCCAGCAAACUCUCCGCACCCACUUCCUGUCGGGAUUUUGAGGGAAAACGCCUCCAUUUUAUGUAACACCAGCCUGAACCAACGCACAGAUCGCACUGCACCAGGUUCUGGGGGCUCGUGCUUCCUUUCCCGAGUUUGGUCCUCCCAUGAGUCAGAGGGAGCCGGAUCAGUGGGAGCUUAGUGGUUUUACUGGAGGGGAACCUACAGGAAAUCAUUUAAGAAGAUAAUAAGGGGGAUUUUUCCUGUCUAGAGAUGAGGCCCCUGGGUCUUUGCAGAUGGUGCUAUUUUCUCAGAUUCAGAAAUAACUGCAGGAGAAGAGCCUCAGCUGGUUCCUAAGUCAGUACAACUGGGUCAGUACACAGACCCUCCUGGGACAGGACCAAGCUUUCAUGCCUUGAGCUUUGUCAAAGGCUCAAGUCUUCACAGAUCCGUGGGACUCCCUCGCAGCACCCAGAGUCCUGGCAGGCUGGGCUCUUCCUGAGCCUCUCGUGGCUCGCCCAGCCUCUCUUCCCUGUUAGAUUUGCCUGAUUACUUGAAAUGUGAUUAUCUCUGGAACUGAAAUUAUAAGUGGAUUUUCAUUCUCUGCUGUCUCAGUUGGUAAGGAAUCUGCCUGCAAUGCAGGAGACCUGGGUUCAAUCCCUGGGUCAGGAAGAUCCCCUGGAGGAGGGGAUGGCAACCCACUCCAGUGUUCUUGCCUGGAGAAUCCCAUGGACAGAGGAGCCUGGCAGGUUACUGUCCAUGGGGUCGCAAAGAGUCAGACAUGACUGAGUAGCUAACACUUCCCACUGAGGUAGAAGGUAAUUACUUUGGGUGGUGCCCCUACUGUCGAUAUGUAAUUUCUCUUUUAAUAAAUGUUUUGACACCUUAAGUUGACUAGCGUUGAACCUGAGUAAUGAAAGACAGGUAUUUUGCCC